rnacentral:rRNA from 1 species
AUGGGGUUCCCCCUGGUGUGCUACUGCGUCGCCAUCCCCAAGCCGAUCAUCGCCUUCUGCAAGCUCGUCGCCGCCGUCCGGGACGCCCUCCUCCUGCUGCUCUCCCUCGUCGGCCUCUGCCGCUCCCCGCGCCGCUCCGUCCACGACGCCCCGCUGCCCGAGGAGGUCAAGGAGCGCCUCCCGGCCGUCGAGUUCUCCUUGCUGGCGCGUCCGGCGCAGCAGCAGCAGGGGUGCCACGACGGGGACGCCGCGGCGGCGGCGACGUGCAUCGUGUGCCUGGAGCGGCUGCGGGCGGCGGACGAGGUGCGGCGGCUGGGCAACUGCGCGCACGCCUUCCACCGCGGCUGCAUCGACGGGUGGAUCGACCUCGGCCGGACCACCUGCCCGCUGUGCCGCUCCCACCUACUGCCCCGCCCGCGGAGGGACGGCCCGCUCGCCAGCCUCCUCACGCGCGUUUGGUGA